UGGAACAAUGUAGGCAAGGGAAGUUUUCAAAAUGGAUCUGUAACCUUGAGAAAAGGAUUGGCUCUGAGGGAUGGGCAUGAAGGUCCCAGUCCCUAACCCGUCGGCUGUCGGUGGACUGCUCAAGAUGCUCUUAUGGCGAGAGUGGGUCGCUGCGUGCCGGUCGGGGGACGGAUUGGGAAUGGGCCCUUCGGGGCCUCUUCCCCAGACAUCAAACAGUCGACUCAAAACUGGUACAGACAAGGGGAAUCUGACUGUUUAAUAAAAACAAAGCAUUGCGAUGGUUCGUGACGAUGUGGAUGCAAUGUGAUUUCUGCCCAGUGCUCUAAAUGUCAAAGUGAAGAAAUUCAACUAAGCGUGGGUAAACGGCAGGAGUAACUAUGACUCUCUUAAAGUAGCCAAAUGACUCGUCAACUAAUUAGUGAUGCGCAUGAAUGGAGUAACGAUAUUCCCAUUGUCCCUAUCUACUAUCCAGCGAAACCGCAGCCAAGGGAACGGGCUUGG
rnacentral:rRNA from 1 species